UCGCACCUGAACUCAACACCCGCCGGCCCAGCGGGAGGGCUGGGACCGCGCGCCCUCGCCUCCAGGCCAGACCCCCGCGAGGCGCUGCAGUAAUGAGGGCUGAGUGCGGGGCGGGGCGCCGCCGGGGGAGGCGGCGAGGGUGACGACCUGUGGCAGGCACCCCUCUCUCCUACUGGUCGCGGCCAGUGGCCGACUCUCCCGUCCUCCCCCUGCCUCGGCCUAGACCCCUAAGCAGGCAGGGAGCCCGCCUGCCAGCUGGAGGGGCGGGGGUCCCAUCGCUGCUGUGGAGUCCAAAGUGUGAGCCUUAUCUCUCAGAGGGCCGGCUGGCCUGCCUGGUGGAAGCAACCCAAGAGGCAGAUGCUACCGGUAUCAUCCCACUUAGUUGGUGCAAGACUGAAUCUCGGAGGUAAAAUAGCUUCACCAAGGUCACAAAGCCAGGAUGUGGAAGAGCUGGCUCAAUUCCUGUAUCUAACAAGGCUUUAGAGAGGACAUUUGGUCCAGCCGCCAACUGCCAAACAGGAGACCACUGCUGUCUCUCUCCUUCUUGGCUUGCGUUCUUUGCUGCAUCAAGCUGUGUUGUUGGAGGAACAGUGCGAGGCCUCUGGCCGGUAGUCAACAAGGAACUGAGAGCCUCCGUCUAGCAUCUGGUGAAGAACUGAACCCAUCAAAGGCCGGU